rnacentral:rRNA from 2 species
UGGGGAAUAUUGGGCAAUGGGCGAAAGCCUGAUGCAGCAACGCCGCGUGAACGAUGAAGGUCUUCGGAUCGUAAAGUUCUGUCGCAGGGGAAGAUAAUGACGGUACCCUGUGAGGAAGCACCGGCUAACUACGUGCCAGCAGCCGCGGUAAUACGUAGGGGGCUAGCGUUAUCCGGAAUUACUGGGCGUAAAGGGUGCGUAGGUGGUGUCUUAAGUCAGAGGUGAAAGGCUACGGCUCAACCGUAGUAAGCCUUUGAAACUGGGAAACUUGAGUGCAGGAGAGGAGAGUGGAAUUCCUAGUGUAGCGGUGAAAUGCGUAGAUAUUAGGAGGAACACCAGUUGCGAAGGCGGCUCUCUGGACUGUAACUGACACUGAGGCACGAAAGCGUGGGGAGCAAACAGG